rnacentral:sRNA from 1 species
AGAAGAUCUGGAACUAUAAAAUCUUUUUGGCUUUUAUUUAGUCUUGGGCAGACUAACGUCUUCUGUCUGUUGCUGUGUUCAUUAGAUAAGUGACAUCAGCGGAAAUGUCUGUUACAGCACUUUUGGCUUUAGCCUUUUUGGGCUUCGUAGCAG